rnacentral:rRNA from 1 species
ACGAACCGUGCGAACGUUAUUCGGAAUCACUGGGCUUAAAGCGCGUGUAGGCGGAUGGGGACGUCGGUCGCUGAAAUCCCCCGGCUCAACCGGGGAACGGGCGCCGAAACGCCCCGUCUGGAGGGACGUAGGGGGACCUGGAACUUCCGGUGGAGCGGUGAAAUGCGUUGAGAUCGGAAGGAACGCCCGUGGCGAAAGCGAGGUCCUGGACGUCUUCUGACGCUGAGACGCGAAAGCUAGGGUAGCGAACGGGA